rnacentral:lncRNA from 1 species
CACAUUUUUAUUAACAAUGACGACCUAGAAACAGUGGGAUAACUGCCUUGUUCAGGGGCAGCACAACUGUUUUUAAAUUUUUGUAAAAAAAAAUGUACCUUGUCAGCUCGGGGAUUCGAUCGAGCAACCUUUCGGUUACUGGCCCAACGCUCUAACCACUUGGCUAGUGCUAUAGAGCAGUGCUAUAUUUUUCAACCGCAAUAUCAACAACUGUUCAAUAUCUUCUUAUUUUUUUCUUAGGACACGCUAGGUAGACCACCAGCUCAGGAGAUUCCCCUGGAGGAGCACUGUCAAUACAAGUACUUGUUCAACUUCCGGGGUGUGGCGGCCAGCUUCCGCCUCAAGCACCUGUUCCUGUGUGGCUCUCUGGUUUUCCAUCCUGGAGUUCUUCUAUCCCCAGCUGCUGCCCCGGGUACACUACAUCCCUGUCAAACAGGACCUCUCUGACCUCAGGUGACCUGUCUGGCUUGGCUGUGUGUCAUAACUGUUCACCUGUUCAACUGUCAACCUGCUCCAUGGGUAAUGUAGUGAAAUAUGUGGUUUGUCUAAUAUCUGAAUGUUCUCUGUUAUAUCUAUAGUGAUGUCCCCUAUUUCUGUCUUACCAGGGAACUGCUACAGUUUGAAUGAAAACGAUGAAAUCGCUCAAGAGAUUCCCAUUAGGUAACAAGCUGGGUUGUGAACUAGAAAGAAUGGCUAUAGUUAAUGUAACCAGUCUGUCUGCUUUCUCACAGCUUGUACAGCAGCAUGCUAAAUAAUCAGACUAUUGAUAUUGUUGACUUAUGUUAGUUGACCAGCCUCUGCCUCCAGGGGUCAACGGUUCAUCCUGGACCACCUGAGGAUGGAGGACGUGUCGUGUUACUGGGAGAGACUCCUCACUGAGUUUGGUGGGCUGCUCAAGUAUAAACUCCGGAGGAGGACUAACUACAAUCAGGUCAUCCACAAGCAUGGGAGGACAGAACUGUGACCGAGCCAGAGGGGGGGUCACUCUGUAUGGACUAUAUGGAGAUCCAGUCAAUGGAUAGCGGCAGAUUGAUAUUUGUUCACACUGCUUAUUAAUGUCCCUAAUGCUGGUCUUAGAAUGAGGAAUUGCUGGUCUUCACAUUUAGGCUGUGGUCUUCCCAUUGAUUCUCCAUAGGGUUAGAUGUAAUAGAGUACCUUUUUUAAAGUAUUGUGUUAUAGACGAUUUAGGAGUUGGAAAAACGCUGUAAAAAGAAAGCGGCUAUUUGGGAUUGAAAUUACCAUUGGGAUUAGCAGACA